rnacentral:rRNA from 1 species
UACGUAGGGUGCGAGCGUUAAUCGGAAUUACUGGGCGUAAAGCGUGCGCAGGCGGUUUUGUAAGCCAGAUGUGAAAUCCCCGGGCUUAACCUGGGAAUGGCAUUUGGGACUGCAAGGCUGGAGUGCGGCAGAGGAGACUGGAAUUCCUGGUGUAGCGGUGAAAUGCGCAGAUAUCAGGAGGAACACCGAUGGCGAAGGCAGGUCUCUGGGCCACUACUGACGCUGAGAAGCGAAAGCAUGGGGAGCGAACAGG